CCUCGGGCGGCUGCAGUGGGGAAUAUUGGACAAUGGGCGAAAGCCUGAUCCAGCCAUGCCGCGUGUGUGAAGAAGGCCUUCGGGUUGUAAAGCACUUUCAGUGGGGAAGAAAGCCUUGGGGCUAAUACCCUCGAGGAAGGACAUCACCCACAGAAGAAGCACCGGCUAACUCCGUGCCAGCAGCCGCGGUAAUACGGAGGGUGCGAGCGUUAAUCGGAAUUACUGGGCGUAAAGCGCGCGUAGGCGGUCUGAUAAGCCGGUUGUGAAAGCCCCGGGCUCAACCUGGGAACGGCAUCCGGAACUGUCAGGCUAGAGUGCAGGAGAGGAAGGUAGAAUUCCCGGUGUAGCGGUGAAAUGCGUAGAGAUCGGGAGGAAUACCAGUGGCGAAGGCGGCCUUCUGGACUGACACUGACGCUGAGGUGCGAAAGCGUGGGUAGCAAACAGGAUUAGAUACCUAGUAGUC
rnacentral:rRNA from 1 species